AUCACAUUUUUUAAAAGUUUUUCGUUUCCUUUCAUUUUCACUCAUCCCCACUCUCGUUCCCGUUCGUUCUGAUUCGCCUCCAACGUUCCAUUCUCGACCUAUCUUCGCUGUUCCAUUCUCGAUUCGCCUCCGUCAUCACGUUCUCGAUUCGCCUCCUUGGUUCCAUUUCGAUCCUCCUCCGUCGCUCCCGUUCUCAAUCAUCCAUCAUCGUUCUCGGUCCUCCAUCGCCGUUCUUGGUCCUAAAGAACCAUUGAAUAGCAAGUUAGGGUUUAUUGUUUAUGUAUGUUAUGUUUCUUAUUUCUCAUUUGAAUUUGACUUCUAAACGCUGAGCUAGGGUUUAGAGCUUUUGUAUGUUUUGAAUACGAUUUUUCUUUUGAAUUUACCUUCAGUAAUAGUGAGUUAGGAUUUAUUGUUCUUGUGAUCCUUGGGUUAAUGUGUUAGUAUGCUGGAAAUUGAGAUAUUUGUGGCAUUGGGCACAUAUAAACUUUUUAUUCAUUGAGUUGAGCUUUGAGAGUUUUAGCAUAGUAGAUAUUAGUUUACAAAGCUAAUAUGAGGAUAGACUUUUAGCAUGUUUGGUUUUGCGGUGGAAAGCUCGUAGAGGUGCGUAUGUCCAGAAGCUAAGAAUUCUAGCUUCUUAAAAUCAUGUGGAAAUCACAUUGGAACACGCAUUGAAGGGUUGUCAUGGUUUUUUGAUUAUGAUGGUGAAGUAUAGUAUUAAUCAUGUGCUUAGCAGUUUUCUGCGCAUGUAUCAGCUCGCCGAAGGUGGUACAGCUGUAGGAACUGGAUUGAAUACUGUUCUUGGCGUCUAUCAUCACAUGCAGAAAAACAUUGGCUUGUAAUGUGCUCAUAUUCUCCUUUUGCAGGCUGCCCGUGAUGCUUUUGUUGAAACUAGUAGAGUCCUCAACACAAUUGCAGCUUCUUUAAUGAAGAUUGCUAAUGAUACUUUUUAUAUGAAGGCAUUGAGAGACGGUUGGGAGAGCCAAUUUCAGUGGGUGUGGACGAUCAACAGACUUUGAUGCUGCAGCCAGUGCAGAAAAAUCUCUUGAGACAUGCUCACUUGUGGAGCAUAUAUUACAUUUGGAACCAACCGAGGGGGAAGAUAUUAGUGUAUGUGUUUGUUUAGCAAGUUUGAUGUCAUUAUUUGAUGAAAAAGGAGACAAAGCAGGAUCCACCACCUACAUUGCGUUGAAAAAUUGUCAUUUGAAGGAUUUGCGAAUUUUGUAAAGGAGAUGUUGUUGCUAUUACCAAUGCAUUAGAACGAUAUCAGGAAUUGGAUCCAAGUUUUCAGGAAGGCGUGAAUAUAGACUUUUGGCAGAUGUUGCUGCUGCAAUUGAUGAAGAAGACGUUGGAAAGUUCAAUGAAGUUGUGAAGGAGUUUGAUGGCAUGAUUCCUUUUGAUUCUUUGAAAACAAAACUUAAUCUGAGGGAACUUGAGGAGGAUGAUCUGACUUGAAUUGUAUCUUAGUUUUGUGAUGGUUGUGCUUCAGGUUUGAUUGUCUAAAUGGGAACUCUAAAAGCAUUCGGGUUUGUUCAUGUAGAUGCCUACUACAAUUGAGGAGUUGGAAGCAGCAAUCUUAUUUGUCAAUCGUAACAUAUUGGAACAAUAUGAGGAUUGUCAAAGACAAGUACUCUUCAUUGUUGUAAUUUUUGUUGGGUUAUUUCAGAUGCCAUCUAUAUUUACCGUGACUUUACAGAUAGAAGAUCUUGCAAAAAAAACUCAAUGCAAACAAGAAGGAAUCUAGAAAGUGUCUAGCUGAAUUGGAUGAUAUUAAGGGAAAAUGGCUUCCAACACUCAGAUAAAUGAAACUUUUGGUGGAAAUUUUUAACAGAUAGGUGUUGCCGGAGGGGUUUCACUAGAUGAGCAUGAUAUGGACUUUUGAUCAAUUUGGAAUUUAUAUAACAGAGAAAAUGAACUGCUUGAAGUUUUAAGUGCUCAUCACAAGUCUGGAGGGGACUUUCAACCAUUGUUUAUCUUGUUUCCAGAUCUUACGAACUCUCCAUUUAGAGUUGUUGAUGAGAUCAACCAAGGAAGAUGUUUGAGCAAUUAGUGAGGAGCGUCAAGCAAGCCAAAUACACCAUAGUGAGUACCAACUAAUGUGCUCAGUUCCCCCAUAACUGAGAGUGACCAUUAAUCUUAUGUAGGUGUUUCUUACUUACCCCAAAGUUGUUACCAGAUCUGCAAUAUAGCCGAGGCAUGCCAUAUAUUGAAUGUAAUGAAUGGUCCUUGUAUUGAGCAACCUUUAAAGGAUAAUCUAUCAUACCAACAAAAACUAUAUUUAUCCUCUCUUUAA